ACUGAACGAUGGAGCUUGCUCCAGGCGUCGAGCGGCGGACGGGUGAGUAAUGCAUAGGAAUCUGCCCGGUAGUGGGGGAUAACCUGGGGAAACCCAGGCUAAUACCGCAUACGUCCUACGGGAGAAAGCAGGGGAUCUUCGGACCUUGCGCUAUCGGAUGAGCCUAUGUCGGAUUAGCUUGUUGGUGAGGUAAUGGCUCACCAAGGCGACGAUCCGUAGCUGGUCUGAGAGGAUGAUCAGCCACAUCGGGACUGAGACACGGCCCGAACUCCUACGGGAGGCAGCAGUGGGGAAUAUUGGACAAUGGGCGAAAGCCUGAUCCAGCCAUGCCGCGUGUGUGAAGAAGGCUUUCGGGUUGUAAAGCACUUUCAGUGAGGAAGAAGGCCUUGGGGCUAAUACCCCCGAGGAAGGACAUCACUCACAGAAGAAGCACCGGCUAACUCCGUGCCAGCAGCCGCGGUAAUACGGAGGGUGCGAGCGUUAAUCGGAAUUACUGGGCGUAAAGCGCGCGUAGGCGGCGUGAUAAGCCGGUUGUGAAAGCCCCGGGCUCAACCUGGGAACGGCAUCCGGAACUGUCAGGCUAGAGUGCAGGAGAGGAAGGUAGAAUUCCCGGUGUAGCGGUGAAAUGCGUAGAGAUCGGGAGGAAUACCAGUGGCGAAGGCGGCCUUCUGGACUGACACUGACGCUGAGGUGCGAAAGCGUGGGUAGCAAACAGGAUUAGAUACCCUGGUAGUCCACGCCGUAAACGAUGUCGACUAGCCGUUGGGGUCCUUGAGACCUUUGUGGCGCAGUUAACGCGAUAAGUCGACCGCCUGGGGAGUACGGCCGCAAGGUUAAAACUCAAAUGAAUUGACGGGGGCCCGCACAAGCGGUGGAGCAUGUGGUUUAAUUCGAUGCAACGCGAAGAACCUUACCUACCCUUGACAUCGUGCGAACUUGGUAGAGAUACCUUGGUGCCUUCGGGAGCGCACAGACAGGUGCUGCAUGGCUGUCGUCAGCUCGUGUUGU
rnacentral:rRNA from 1 species